GGGUUGUGAGGUUAAGCGACUAAGCGUACACGGUGGAUGCCCUGGCAGUCAGAGGCGAUGAAGGACGUGCUAAUCUGCGAUAAGCGUCGGUAAGGUGAUAUGAACCGUUAUAACCGGCGAUUUCCGAAUGGGGAAACCCAGUGUGUUUCGACACACUAUCAUUAACUGAAUCCAUAGGUUAAUGAGGCGAACCGGGGGAACUGAAACAUCUAAGUACCCCGAGGAAAAGAAAUCAACCGAGAUUCCCCCAGUAGCGGCGAGCGAACGGGGAGGAGCCCAGAGCCUGAAUCAGUGUGUGUGUUAGUGGAAGCGUCUGGAAAGGCGCGCGAUACAGGGUGACAGCCCCGUACACAAAAAUGCACAUACUGUGAGCUCGAUGAGUAGGGCGGGACACGUGGUAUCCUGUCUGAAUAUGGGGGGACCAUCCUCCAAGGCUAAAUACUCCUGACUGACCGAUAGUGAACCAGUACCGUGAGGGAAAGGCGAAAAGAACCCCGGCGAGGGGAGUGAAAAAGAACCUGAAACCGUGUACGUACAAGCAGUGGGAGCCUCUUAAUGGGGUGACUGCGUACCUUUUGUAUAAUGGGUCAGCGACUUAUAUUCUGUAGCAAGGUUAACCGAAUAGGGGAGCCGAAGGGAAACCGAGUCUUAACUGGGCGUUAAGUUGCAGGGUAUAGACCCGAAACCCGGUGAUCUAGCCAUGGGCAGGUUGAAGGUUGGGUAACACUAACUGGAGGACCGAACCGACUAAUGUUGAAAAAUUAGCGGAUGACUUGUGGCUGGGGGUGAAAGGCCAAUCAAACCGGGAGAUAGCUGGUUCUCCCCGAAAGCUAUUUAGGUAGCGCCUCGUGAAUUCAUCUCCGGGGGUAGAGCACUGUUUCGGCAAGGGGGUCAUCCCGACUUACCAACCCGAUGCAAACUGCGAAUACCGGAGAAUGUUAUCACGGGAGACACACGGCGGGUGCUAACGUCCGUCGUGAAGAGGGAAACAACCCAGACCGCCAGCUAAGGUCCCAAAGUCAUGGUUAAGUGGGAAACGAUGUGGGAAGGCCCAGACAGCCAGGAUGUUGGCUUAGAAGCAGCCAUCAUUUAAAGAAAGCGUAAUAGCUCACUGGUCGAGUCGGCCUGCGCGGAAGAUGUAACGGGGCUAAACCAUGCACCGAAGCUGCGGCAGCGACGUUUAUGCGUUGUUGGGUAGGGGAGCGUUCUGUAAGCCUGCGAAGGUGUACUGUGAGGUAUGCUGGAGGUAUCAGAAGUGCGAAUGCUGACAUAAGUAACGAUAAAGCGGGUGAAAAGCCCGCUCGCCGGAAGACCAAGGGUUCCUGUCCAACGUUAAUCGGGGCAGGGUGAGUCGACCCCUAAGGCGAGGCCGAAAGGCGUAGUCGAUGGGAAACAGGUUAAUAUUCCUGUACUUGGUGUUACUGCGAAGGGGGGACGGAGAAGGCUAUGUUGGCCGGGCGACGGUUGUCCCGGUUUAAGCGUGUAGGCUGGUUUUCCAGGCAAAUCCGGAAAAUCAAGGCUGAGGCGUGAUGACGAGGCACUACGGUGCUGAAGCAACAAAUGCCCUGCUUCCAGGAAAAGCCUCUAAGCAUCAGGUAACAUCAAAUCGUACCCCAAACCGACACAGGUGGUCAGGUAGAGAAUACCAAGGCGCUUGAGAGAACUCGGGUGAAGGAACUAGGCAAAAUGGUGCCGUAACUUCGGGAGAAGGCACGCUGAUAUGUAGGUGAAGUCCCUCGCGGAUGGAGCUGAAAUCAGUCGAAGAUACCAGCUGGCUGCAACUGUUUAUUAAAAACACAGCACUGUGCAAACACGAAAGUGGACGUAUACGGUGUGACGCCUGCCCGGUGCCGGAAGGUUAAUUGAUGGGGUUAGCGGUAACGCGAAGCUCUUGAUCGAAGCCCCGGUAAACGGCGGCCGUAACUAUAACGGUCCUAAGGUAGCGAAAUUCCUUGUCGGGUAAGUUCCGACCUGCACGAAUGGCGUAAUGAUGGCCAGGCUGUCUCCACCCGAGACUCAGUGAAAUUGAACUCGCUGUGAAGAUGCAGUGUACCCGCGGCAAGACGGAAAGACCCCGUGAACCUUUACUAUAGCUUGACACUGAACAUUGAGCCUUGAUGUGUAGGAUAGGUGGGAGGCUUUGAAGUGUGGACGCCAGUCUGCAUGGAGCCGGCCUUGAAAUACCACCCUUUAAUGUUUGAUGUUCUAACGUUGGCCCCUGAUCGGGGUUGCGGACAGUGUCUGGUGGGUAGUUUGACUGGGGCGGUCUCCUCCUAAAGAGUAACGGAGGAGCACGAAGGUUGGCUAAUCCUGGUCGGACAUCAGGAGGUUAGUGCAAUGGCAUAAGCCAGCUUGACUGCGAGCGUGACGGCGCGAGCAGGUGCGAAAGCAGGUCAUAGUGAUCCGGUGGUUCUGAAUGGAAGGGCCAUCGCUCAACGGAUAAAAGGUACUCCGGGGAUAACAGGCUGAUACCGCCCAAGAGUUCAUAUCGACGGCGGUGUUUGGCACCUCGAUGUCGGCUCAUCACAUCCUGGGGCUGAAGUAGGUCCCAAGGGUAUGGCUGUUCGCCAUUUAAAGUGGUACGCGAGCUGGGUUUAGAACGUCGUGAGACAGUUCGGUCCCUAUCUGCCGUGGGCGCUGGAGAACUGAGGGGGGCUGCUCCUAGUACGAGAGGACCGGAGUGGACGCAUCACUGGUGUUCGGGUUGUCAUGCCAAUGGCACUGCCCGGUAGCUAAAUGCGGAAGAGAUAAGUGCUGAAAGCAUCUAAGCACGAAACUUGCCCCGAGAUGAGUUCUCCCUGACUCUUUAAGGGUCCUGAAGGAACGUUGAAGACGACGACGUUGAUAGGCCGGGUGUGUAAGCGCAGCGAUGCGUUGAGCUAACCGGUACUAAUGAACCGUGAGGCUUAACCUUACAACGCCGAAG
rnacentral:rRNA from 2 species